rnacentral:rRNA from 1 species
GACGAACGCUGGCGGCGUGCUUAACACAUGCAAGUCGAACGAAGUGGCGAACGGGUGAGUAACGCGUAAUCAACCUGCCCUUCAGAGGGGGACAACAGUUGUACACGACUGCUACUACCUCCUACUGAAGUAGGUGAUUGCGUCUGAUUAGCUAGUUGGAGGGGUAACGGCCCACCAAGGCGAUGAUCAGUAGCCGGUCUGAGAGGAUGAACGGCCACAUUUGGACUGAGACACGGCCCAGACUCCUACGGGAGGCAGCAGUGGGGAAGCUUCCGCAAUGGACGAAAGCCUGACGAAGCAACGCCGCGUGAGUGAUGACGGCCUUCGGGUUGUAAAGCUCUGUUAAUCGGGACGCGGUACCGGAAUAGAAAGCCACGGCUAACUACGUGCCAGCAGCCGCGGUAAUAC